AGACCCGAAACCCGGUGAUCUAGCCAUGGGCAGGUUGAAGGUUGGGUAACACUAACUGGAGGACCGAACCGACUAAUGUUGAAAAAUUAGCGGAUGACCUGUGGCUGGGGGUGAAAGGCCAAUCAAACCGGGAGAUAGCUGGUUCUCCCCGAAAGCUAUUUAGGUAGCGCCUCGUGAAUUCAUCUCCGGGGGUAGAGCACUGUUUCGGCUAGGGGGCCAUCCCGGCUUACCAACCCGAUGCAAACUGCGAAUACCGGAGAAUGUUAUCACGGGAGACACACGGCGGGUGCUAACGUCCGUCGUGAAGAGGGAAACAACCCAGACCGCCAGCUAAGGUCCCAAAGUCAUGGUUAAGUGGGAAACGAUGUGGGAAGGCCCAGACAGCCAGGAUGUUGGCUUAGAAGCAGCCAUCAUUUAAAGAAAGCGUAAUAGCUCACUGGUCGAGUCGGCCUGCGCGGAAGAUGUAACGGGGCUAAACCAUGCACCGAAGCUGCGGCAGCGAACGUAUCACCCAAGACAACUUUACGGAGUUGACGAUUGACGGAGCGAAGCGACGUCAAAGCGUUCAUUAAAGUCGAGUUGGCUUAGGGAUACGUUCGUUGGGUAGGGGAGCGUUCUGUAAGCCUGUGAAGGUGUGUCGUGAGGCAUGCUGGAGGUAUCAGAAGUGCGAAUGCUGACAUAAGUAACGAUAAAGCGGGUGAAAAGCCCGCUCGCCGGAAGACCAAGGGUUCCUGUCCAACGUUAAUCGGGGCAGGGUGAGUCGACCCCUAAGGCGAGGCCGAAAGGCGUAGUCGAUGGGAAACGGGUUAAUAUUCCCGUACUUGGUGUUACUGCGAAGGGGGGACGGAGAAGGCUAUGUUGGCCGGGCGACGGUUGUCCCGGUUUAAGCGUGUAGGUGUGUGUUCCAGGUAAAUCCGGUUCACUUUAACACUGAGGCGUGAUGACGAGGCACUACGGUGCUGAAGCAACAAAUGCCCUGCUUCCAGGAAAAGCCUCUAAGCAUCAGGUAACAUCAAAUCGUACCCCAAACCGACACAGGUGGUCAGGUAGAGAAUACCAAGGCGCUUGAGAGAACUCGGGUGAAGGAACUAGGCAAAAUGGUGCCGUAACUUCGGGAGAAGGCACGCUGACACGUAGGUGAAGUGAUUUACUCACGGAGCUGAAGUCAGUCGAAGAUACCAGCUGGCUGCAACUGUUUAUUAAAAACACAGCACUGUGCAAACACGAAAGUGGACGUAUACGGUGUGACGCCUGCCCGGUGCCGGAAGGUUAAUUGAU
rnacentral:rRNA from 1 species